AUUAAGGGAAAAUGCGUGCCGAAAUUUCAAUAAUGAUACAGCAGUUGUAGGAUUCACCGCUAGGUGGCGUUUGUCAUACAGGUCGGCGUUCGUCACGCAGAUUAUAGCGCAGCUGUUACUUUUGCCUUCUAGGUAAAUAAGUUAUUAUUUUCUAAAGGUGAAACAAGAAAACUUGAAAUAGCAUCCAAAAUGUAGUUGGAGGGAUGAUUGCUAUUUGUUGUUUAAAAAAUAUGUAUUCCCAUUAACACAGAACAAUGAUAUGUGGCCAUACCCGCAAGCUACGUGAAGCCAGAUAAAUUUUUGAUCUACUUAGUCAGGUGUAUCUAAAGAAAUUUUUGAAAUUUACAUUUGGCUGGUGAAGUUAUUACACAAAGCCUGAAGUGGUGCACUGCUGGAGUUGCCACGCAGGCCUGGCAUAUGUCCCUUUUUGUGGUAUUUCCCGUUUCUCUGUCUUUUGAAUACCAACGUUUGGUGGUAUAUGUAUACAUUUACUGUGGUUUUAUAAAGUAUGUAACUAUCUUCGAAAUAUGUUUACCCUGCUCGCCCCAAACGUGAUGAAUCAUUAGGGAGGAUAGUCAGGAUACCCGACAUCAGCAACACACGACUUUGUGACGAGACAGAAAUUACGUUGCUCAUACGUUUACAUCCCAGUCGAAAGCCUGAAUUCACAACGACUUGCAAAUAGAGUUUCAUUGAAAACGGACGUAGAUCUCUUAUCUCUGAAAAAAAAAAAAAAAAAGAUGUUGCUGUCUGGAAUUGUGCGAACAACUGCGGUAGAAGAGGCCAUCAAAAAGAAGUUAGUGUCCCCAAUGCCAGCUAAAUCUCCGAAAUUGAAAUGGAUGGCCAUUGGAGGCUUCGUUGUGGGUUUCAUGGCAGUUUUGAAAUACACCGGCAACCUGAACAAGGCCUUCUUCAUUGAUUGGUUUAAAGAAAUUC